rnacentral:rRNA from 1 species
UACAGAGGGGGCAAGCGUUAUUCGGAAUUAUUGGGCGUAAAGGGCGCGUAGGCGGCCUGGCAAGUGACGGGUGAAAGCCCUCGGCUUAACCGAGGAACUGCCUGUCAGACUGUUAGGCUUGAGACCGGGAGAGGUGAGUGGAAUUCCCAGUGUAGCGGUGAAAUGCGUAGAUAUUGGGAGGAACACCAGUGGCGAAGGCGGCAUCCUGGACUGGUCCUGACACUCAUGAGCGAAAGCGUGGGGAGCGAUCCGG